rnacentral:tRNA from 1 species
GCCUGGGUGGCUCAGUUGGUUAAAGUGUCUGACUUCGGCUCAGGUCAUGAUCUUACGGUCUGUGGGGUUCGAGCCCCACCUCAGGCU